GGUUUAAAAUGAAUUUUAUGUACUGUAUGUUGUAUAUAUCUUAAAAUUUUAAAAAUUGAAAAAAAGUAAGUGAAAAACUCCAACUGUAUAUGUAUUUCAAUAUUCAGAAAAGGAAUAAAAAGGGGGAAAAAUGAGUUCCAGUCGUGGCUCAGCAGUAAUGAACCCAGCUAGGAUCCAUUAGGAUGUGGGUUCAAUCCCUGGCCUCUCUCAGUGGGUUAAGGAUCUGGCGUUGCCAUGAGCUAUGGUGUAGGUUGCAGACAUGUCUUGGACCUUGUGGUAAAGGCUGGCAGCUAUAGCUCUGAUUUGACCCCUAGCCUGGAAACUUCUACGUGCGGCAGGUGCGGCCCUAAAAAGCAAAAAUAAAAUAAGUGUGGGGGGGAGAUGAAUAAAUGCCCAUUAGAGCAAAGGCUUUGUUGCUUGCAUUUAUAUCCUUAAUUAAGUCUAGGCAGACAGGGUUAAAUAACAAAAAUUCAACUAAGUAAAUUUAAAGAUCAGAUUGGCUUCAGUAAAUGAUUCAUGAGUUGGGCAGCAUCCCAUCUACCAAAUAGAAAGGAGCUCCUCUGAGUUGUAGAAAAGUAAAGAAUGGUGGACGAGGGGCAGAAAAAGGAAAUUAUUAGCAAAGAAUGCAUUGUUUCAGGAAAGGUCAUCCUCCUAAGAGGAGUGAAAGGGUUCUGCUGAGCAGGUAAUUCCAGAUUGACUGAGUAAAGGUAACGUUCCUGGAAGAAGUUGAAACCGUAGUUGGGUUAGGUAUUAGUUUUGGUUUGGUGAUCUGGAUUUAGCACAGGAGACACCAUUUUGGGCCUCUUGUCUCUCUCUCUUUUUUUGGCUUGGGGGAGGUGCUUUUUAGGGUGCACCCUUGGCAUAGGGAAGUUCCCAGGCUAGGGGUCAUAUUGGAGUUGGAGCCGCCGGCCUACACCACAGCCACAGCAGUGGGGGAUCUGAGCUUUGUCUGCGACCUACAACUCAGCUCACAGCAAUGCUGGAUCCUUAACCCACUGAGCGAGGCCAGGGAUGGAACCCAAAACCUUACGGUUCCUCGUCAGAUUCCUUAACUGCUGAGCCACCACGGGAACUCCCUGAAUUUACUAUUAACAUAGCAAAAUAAGAAAGUAUUUAACUUUCACAGUUAUAUCAUUUUUUUCUGUCGUUAGAGGAAGCAGAGUAGUCUGAGCUAUUAUUGAUGUAUAACAAAUUACCCAAAACUUAGUGGAUUAGAAAAUCACAGUAAACAUUUAUUAUCUCAUAGUUUUUGUGGUUCAGGAGUUAGAGAGCAGCUUGAAUGGGGGUUUUUGGCUUGGGGUCUCUUUUAAGGUUGUGAUCAAGAUGAGGUGGGAGUCAUCUAAUCUGAUUCCAUGGUGGCUUAUUCACAGGCUACAAAUUCUUACUGGUUUUUGAAAGUCUCAGUUCCUUCCAUUGUCAGUGGCUUCCAGGGCUACUUGAGUGUCCUCAUACUAUAGAGCUGUCUUCUCCCAGAACAAGCAGUUCAAGCCAGAAACCACAAUCUCAUCUAUGACCUUGCUUCAGAAGUCACUAUCACUUCCUCCUCAUUCUGUUGGUCACUAUUUUGACACUAACAGUAUACUGCAAUACAGUUCCGAGGCUUAACUAUCUAGAAUUAAUGCAUACCCCAUAAGUCAAAGGGUAUAAUCCCCAACAAAACUGCCCUCAUUUUAGAUGCGAGUAGCACUUUGGAGGAUCCCCAGAGCACUUGCAUUUCUGACCAAGUGGGGCUCCCAUGACAUCAGAGCCAACCUUUGAUUUCAUUGAUUUUUCUCUGUUGUUUUUCUGUUCUCUAGCCGAGCUCUAAUAUUUUUUUUCCCUUCCUUCUUGCUAGUUUUGGGCUUAGUUUAUUCUUUUUCUAAUUCCUUUAGAUCUAAAGUUAGGUUGUUGAUUUGAUUUCCCCCCCCGGGGGGGGGCAUAUGGAAGUUCCCAGGCCAGGGAUUGAAUCCAAGCUUCGGCUGUGGCAACACUGGAUCCUUUAAUUCUUUAAUCUACUGCGCUUGGUGGGGGAUUGAAUUUGCACCUCCGCAGAGACCUACGCCCUUGCAAUAGGAUUCUUAACCCACUGCAUCACAGCAGGAACUCCUAACUUUCUUUUUUAAUUUAAGCAUUUAUAGCUAUGAAUUUCUCUCUUAGUGCUGCUUUUGCUGUAUCCCAUAAGUUUUGGUAUGUUGUGUUUUUGUUUUCAUUUGUCUGAACAUAUUUUUAAAUUUUUACCCAUUGGUUAUUUAGGAGUGUGUUGUUUAAUUUCCAUUGGUUCAUUUACUAUGCAAGGAUUCAUAGUCUCCAUCUAGGGAUAAAAGCCAGUCACAUUUAUUAUACAGUAGUCACUUACAUCAACCCUGAUUUAUUUUUAGAAGGGACUAUUAAAUGGUGUGAAUACCAGGAGGCAGCAAGAAUCAGGGACCAUAUUUAAGCUGACUACUUUGUAAAGUCAUUUGAUUCAGAUCUGGCUGGUCCCAGUGCUACAUUGAAGACUCAGUUUCCAGAAUUCCCAUCAUGGUUCAGUAGAAACGAAUCUGACUAGCAUCCAUGAAGAUGCAGUUUCCAUCCCUGGCCUUGCUCAGUGGGUUAAGGAUCUAGGAUUGCUGUGGGCUCUGGUGUAGGUCAAAGAUGAGGCUUGGAUCCUGCGUUGCUUUGGCUGUGGCGUAGGCCAGUACCUACAGCUCCAAUUCAACUCCUAGCCUGGGAACCUCCAUAUGCCAUGCUGCGGCCCCAGCAAAAACAAGAAAAAAAAGAAAACUCAGUUUCCAUGUGGCACAGCAGGUUAAAGAUCCAGUGUUGCUGUAGCUGUUGUGUAGGUCACAACUGCGGCAAGGGUUCAGUCCCUGGUCCAGGAAUUUCCAUGUGCUGUGGGUACAGCACCCCCCCCCCAAAAGAAAACCUUUGUUUUCCCUUUUCAGAGAGCCAGGAAUUCCCUUUUCAGAGAGCAAGGAAUGCCUGUAAGGCAUCAUAUUUCGGGAAUGUAUUUAUAAGUUUUGUAGAUCAGAGUGUUUCUUCACCUAACUCUAGAACUAUUUAAAUUUUAGCUCAUAUUGGUUAAGUAUAUUUAAGAAU
ensembl:lncRNA